rnacentral:rRNA from 1 species
GACGAACGCUGGCGGCGUGCCUAAUACAUGCAAGUCGAGCGGACAGACGGGAGCUUGCUCCCUGAUGUUAGCGGCGGACGGGUGAGUAACACGUGGGUAACCUGCCUGUAAGACUGGGAUAACUCCGGGAAACCGGGGCUAAUACCGGAUGGUUGUCUGAACCGCAUGGUUCAGACAUAAAAGGUGGCUUCGGCUACCACUUACAGAUGGACCCGCGGCGCAUUAGCUAGUUGGUGAGGUAACGGCUCACCAAGGCAACGACGCGUAGCCGACCUGAGAGGGUGAUCGGCCACACUGGGACUGAGACACGGCCCAGACUCCUACGGGAGGCAGCAGUAGGGAAUCUUCCGCAAUGGACGAAAGUCUGACGGAGCAACGCCGCGUGAGUGAUGAAGGUUUUCGGAUCGUAAAGCUCUGUUGUUAGGGAAGAACAAGUGCCGUUCAAAUAGGGCGGCACCUUGACGGUACCUAACCAGAAAGCCACGGCUAACUACGUG